rnacentral:rRNA from 1 species
UACGUAGGGUGCAAGCGUUGUCCGGAAUUAUUGGGCGUAAAGAGCUCGUAGGCGGUUUGUUGCGUCGGCUGUGAAAUCCCGAGGCUCAACCUCGGGUCUGCAGUCGAUACGAGCAAACUAGAGUGUUGCAGGGGAGACUGAAAUUCCUGGUGUAGCGGUGAAAUGCGCAGAUAUCAGGAGGAACACCGGUGGCGGAGGCGGGUCUCUGGGCAACAACUGACGCUGAGGAGCGAAAGCGUGGGGAGCGAACAGG